UACGAAGGGGGCUAGCGUUGUUCGGAAUUACUGGGCGUAAAGCGCACGUAGGCGGCUUUCUAAGUCGGGGGUGAAAUCCUGGAGCUCAACUCCAGAACUGCCUUCGAUACUGGAGAGCUCGAGUCCGGGAGAGGUGAGUGGAACUGCGAGUGUAGAGGUGAAAUUCGUAGAUAUUCGCAAGAACACCAGUGGCGAAGGCGGCUCACUGGCCCGAUACUGACGCUGAGGCACGAAAGCGUGGGGAGCAAACAGG
rnacentral:rRNA from 1 species